ACUUCAGAAGAGUUAUGAGGUUGUGAAACCUUCACAUAUAAGUACUCAUAUUAAACAAACAUAAUCUUAAAGGUUUAUUUAUUAACUUUAAAGAAAAAAAAAUGAAGUGGCAUUUCAUACCCGAACUAGAUUCUGAGGAUCCAUCCCUCACUUCUGGAGGUCCUUCAUCGUAAUCAGAAUUGUAAGAAGAUAUAUAGUCGUGAUGAUAUGGUUGUUCGUAGUAACUGCUACCAAUGUACUCUUGUCCUGAGGGUGAACGAAAACUAUAACCUGAAUUAUCGUGUGAAGGAACAAUCAUUGGGAGACUCAAGAGUACUGAGAGAAUUCGAGUAGCCUAUCCUUGGAUCACGGGGCUGACUGGACCUUGGACUUGUCUCCAUCCAUAAACCUUCAUUCCUCUGCAACCAAGUCCAACUUCCGGAGUCUGACCUCAAAAGACUCAAUUAAAGAUCUCUCAUCGAUCGCCGCUCCUCUACAUGAGCUUACAAGGCAAAGUGUGGGCUUUACGUGGAUGGAUGAGGCUAAGGUCCCGCUUCUCCCUUGUUCCUCUCAACUGACCCCUCACUUAUUGGGCUCAGAGAAGUCUUUUCCCAUCUGGGGAAUGGAGAAGACUAUCCUACUGCAUAUACAUCCCGGAAUCUGAGUAGCAAUGAGAAAAAAUACUCAGAAAUCGAUAGAAAAACCACUGGAGUCAUAUUCGGCAUAGAGAGCUUUGAGUGCUAGCUCCUCAGCCAAACUUUCUAAAAAAAAAAAAAAAAAAAAACAGGCCACAUGCCUCUCUAGUUUAUUCUUAACACUCAGCAAGACCUUUCUACUGUAAUUUCUCCUG
rnacentral:lncRNA from 1 species